UCUCCGUUGGUGAACCAGCGGAGGGAUCAUUACCGAGUUUACAACUCCCAAACCCCUGUGAACAUACCACUUGUUGCCUCGGCGGAUCAGCCCGCUCCCGGUAAAACGGGACGGCCCGCCAGAGGACCCCUAAACUCUGUUUUUAUUGUAACUUCUGAGUAAAACCAUAAAUAAAUCAAAACUUUCAACAACGGAUCUCUUGGUUCUG
rnacentral:misc_RNA from 1 species